rnacentral:rRNA from 1 species
AUACGGAAGGUCCGGGCGUUAUCCGGAUUUAUUGGGUUUAAAGGGAGCGCAUGCGGAGAUGCAAGCGUGACGUCAAAUUUCGGGGCUCAACCCCGUCUCGCGUCGCGAACUGCGUCCCUUGGUUGCGGGAAGGGGAGGCGGAACUCGUGGUGUAGCGGUGAAAUGCAUAGAUAUCACGAAGAACUCCGAUCGCGAAGGCAGCCUUCCGGCCCGUCAACGACGCUCAUGCUCGAAGGUGCGGGUAUCAAACAGGAUUAGAUACCCUGGUAGUCCGCACAGUAAACGAUGGACACCCGCGGUUUGGCCUAUAUGGCUGAGCCGCCAAGCGAAAGCGUUAAGUGUCCCACCUGGGGAGUACGCCGGCAACGGUGAAACUCAAAGGAAUUGACGGGG